AGUAAUAUACUACAGGGAUGUCACGAGAACCGAUACUUCGGUACCAAGUCGAUGCCAAAAUUCUAAAAACGAGACGGUACUUGUUUUCUAAAGUACCGAAGGUACCGUACGAUGCCUGCAGGGUACAAAAUGAACUCCUGCCAAGCGCCAAAUGCGACUGCUUCUGUCCUCAGCUCUCUGUCGGAGUUUGACACACACACACAACAGCGCCAUGCAGCAGCGAG